rnacentral:rRNA from 1 species
GACGAACGCUGGCGGCGUGCUUAACACAUGCAAGUCGAACGGAAAGGCCCUGCUUUUGUGGGGUGCUCGAGUGGCGAACGGGUGAGUAACACGUGAGUAACCUGCCCUUGACUUUGGGAUAACUUCAGGAAACUGGGGCUAAUACCGGAUAGGAGCUCCUGCUGCAUGGUGGGGGUUGGAAAGUUUCGGCGGUUGGGGAUGGACUCGCGGCUUAUCAGCUUGUUGGUGGGGUAGUGGCUUACCAAGGCUUUGACGGGUAGCCGGCCUGAGAGGGUGACCGGCAACAUUGGGACUGAGAGACGGCCCAGACGCCUACGGGAGGCAGCAGUGGGGAAUAUUGCACAAUGGGCGGAAGCCUGAUGCAGCAACGCCGCGUGCGGGAUGACGGCCUUCGGGUUGUAAACCGCUUUCGCCUGUGACGAAGCGUGAGUGACGGUAAUGGGUAAAGAAGCACCGGCUAACUACGUG